GCCGAAGGAGCUCAGCUGGGAGAGCGUUAGACUGAAGAUCUAAAGGUCCCUGGUUCAAUCCCGGGCUUUGGCA
rnacentral:tRNA from 1 species